rfam:Desulfuromonadales bacterium C00003068 5datasets_contig_649545, whole genome shotgun sequence.
GUUACAACGCCGGCCUGUCACGCCGGAGGUCGCGGGUUCGAGUCCCGUCAGCCCCG